rnacentral:hammerhead_ribozyme from 1 species
ACCCGUCUGACGAGUCCUAAAUGGGACGAAACGCGCGUCCUGGAU